GAUGAAGAACGUAGCGAAAUGCGAUACUUGGUGUGAAUUGCAGAAUCCCGUGAACCAUCGAGUCUUUGAACGCAAGUUGCGCCCGAAGCCACUAGGCCGAGGGCACGCCUGCCUGGGCGUCACACGCCGUUGCCCCCCCAUCUACUCCUUCGGGAUUGCGGGGGGGCGGAUGAUGGCCUCCCGUGCGCCUCGCCGCGCGGUUGGCAUAAAUACCAAGUCCUCGGCGACGCACGCCACGACAAUCGGUGGUUGCGAAACCUCGGUUGCCCGUCGUGUGCGUUCGUCGCGCAUCGAGGGCUCGAAAAAAUGCUCGGCUCCGGCUGGGCUUUCAACGCGACCCCAGGUCAGGCGGGGUUACCCGCUGAAUUUAAGCAUAUCAAUAAGCGGAGGA
rnacentral:misc_RNA from 1 species